AAUAGAGUGAUACAUACGAGGCCCUCGGAGUUGGUGGUGGGGCUGCUGGAGCGUGGAAUACACCUUCCUUGUGUACCUUAGAUUCUUGGUGGUCCAGAAUUUCGAUUCCAGUAUAGCGGAAGCCCUUCAGCCGAAAGGGUGCUGAAAAAGCAGAACUAUUUCUUUCGGACAAGAACGCCAACACUUCUCAUCUUCAUCUCACCAAUCUCCUCACAAGUGCACCAGCAGAAACUCCUGUUUUACAGCAAGCAACCAACAGUGACAACCGAAAGAAAUAACUGACACUAAACAAAACUAAUCUGCAACAUUCACCAGAGGAAGUGUGUAAUCAACUGUCUUCCUAACAAGCAAGUGAACGAACAAAAAAAAAUUGUCGAAAGCAACGCAGCACCGAUCAGUAUCAAAACACAAGAAAAAAAGGAAACAAGAGGUUCUCAUCGUUGUUUUCCAUUGUUUUGCCCUCCUUCGCAUCGACACUCCGCAAAUCAAACCAACCAGAGUUGUAGCAUCAAAUAUAAACGUUUAUAUAUUAUUAACACAGAGAAAAGAAAAGAGAAGAUUAUAAAGUUCUAAACUAAUUUUUGUAUGUACCUUAAACAACUGUAGUCAAAGAG